rfam:Rhizobium lusitanum strain P1-7 genome assembly, contig: Ga0061101_140
GGCUUAUUUUGCCCAGGCGGAGCUCGACCGCCCACUGAAGCGAUGAUUUCCUUCAUCGACGAACACCGCUCAAAGUUCGGGGUCGAGCCGAUCUGCAGGCUGCUGCCGAUUGCCCCG